AACGUAGGAGACAAACGUUAUCCGGAGUUACUGGGCGUAAAGGGCGUGUAGGUGGUUUUGUAAGUCUGGCGUGAAAUUUUUCGGCUUAACCGGGAAAGGUCGUCGGAUACUGCAAGGCUAGAGGACGGUAGAGGCGUGUGGAAUUCCCGGUGUAGUGGUGAAAUGCGUAGAUAUUGGGAGGAACACCAGUGGCGAAGGCGGCUACCUGGACCGGUUCUGACGCUGAUGCGCGAAAGCGUGGGUAGCAAACAGG
rnacentral:rRNA from 1 species